GACCUGAGUAGUAUUAGUUAUGUUCUUGAAACUUAAAAAAUUUGGCGGUAUUUUAGUCUAUUCAGAGGAACCUGUUCUGUAAUCGAUAAUCCACGAUGGACCUUUCUUGUAAUUGUAUUUCAGUUUAUAUACCGUCGUUAACAGAAUAUUUUAAAAGAAUAAUAAUUUUCAAUUUAUUUUAUAAAAUCUUAUAUCAGAUCAAGGUGUAGCUUAUGUACAAGUAGAAAUGGGUUACAAUAAAAGUAUUUAAAUGGAUAUUAAUAUGAAAAAUUAAUUGAAAGUGGAUUUGAAAGUAAAUUUAUAGAGAUUAAUAAAUUGACCUUAGCUCUAAAAUAUGCACACAUCGCCCGUCGCUCUUAUUACUAAGAUAAGAUAAGUCGUAACAUAGUAGAAGUACCGGAAGGUGUUUCUAGAAUGACAGCUUAAAGCUUAAUAAGUAAAGUAUUUCAUUUACAUUGAAAGGAUUUUUGUGCAAAUCAUUAUAAGUUGAUUAGAUUUUAUUUAUUAAUUAAGAUUUUUUAAAAUAUACAUUAUUAAAAAUAAUUAUAAAAUUAAAAGUUUUUGUAUCGUAUAAAGAUAAAAUAAUUUAAGUAAUAGUUCAAUAGUAUUGUAAAAGAACAUUGAAAUAAUUGAAAAA
rnacentral:rRNA from 1 species